GGAAAUAAUUUUAUUAUGGCUGCUAACUUUAAUAAGGGGAAAAGUUUUUCUCCUAUUUUCA
rnacentral:tRNA from 1 species